GACGGAGGGUGCUAGCGUUGUUCGGAAUUACUGGGCGUAAAGGGCGCGUAGGCGGCUCUGUAAGUCGGGUGUGAAAGCCCGGGGCUCAACCCCGGAACUGCAUUCGAGACUGCGGGGCUCGGGCACGGAAGAGGCGAGUGGAAUACCCAGUGUAGAGGUGAAAUUCGUAGAUAUUGGGAGGAACACCAGUGGCGAAGGCGACUCACUGGACCGGUUCUGACGCUGAGAUGCGAAAGCGUGGGGAGCAAACAGG
rnacentral:rRNA from 1 species